CCUACGGGCGGCUGCAGUGGGGAAUAUUGCACAAUGGGCGCAAGCCUGAUGCAGCCAUGCCGCGUGUGUGAAGAAGGCCUUCGGGUUGUAAAGCACUUUCAGCGGGGAGGAAGGCGUUAAGGUUAAUAACCUUGUCGAUCGACGUUACCCGCAGAAGAAGCACCGGCUAACUCCGUGCCAGCAGCCGCGGUAAUACGGAGGGUGCAAGCGUUAAUCGGAAUUACUGGGCGUAAAGCGCACGCAGGCGGUCUGUCAAGUCGGAUGUGAAAUCCCCGGGCUCAACCUGGGAACUGCAUUCGAAACUGGCAGGCUAGAGUCUUGUAGAGGGGGGUUGAAUUCCAGGUGUAGCGGUGAAAUGCGUAGAGAUCUGGAGGAAUACCGGUGGCGAAGGCGGCCCCCUGGACAAAGACUGACGCUCAGGUGCGAAAGCGUGGGGAGCAAACAGGAUUAGAUACCCGAGUAGUC
rnacentral:rRNA from 1 species